GAGCCACCGAGGCCCCCUUCUAAACCAAUUUUACACCGGUUUCCAGCAUGAAAUAUUAGUGUCAGUCUGAUAGGGUUACUAACUCCAUGCUCCUUCCCCAAAACAAUUUGCUUAUUCCUACUGGAAUGCCAGGACAAACCUUAACCACUGUUCAAGGCUUAUUAAAAUCCCCCUUUCCUCACUGAGGUUUUCCCUGCUUCUCUCCAGUCUUUCCUCCUACUAACACCGCAGGCCCUUCUCUAUAUGUCUUUCCUGACUCUUCACAGGGCAUUUCCAGGUGUGUCUCACAUCUUCUAGACCAGACGGACUGGUUCUUCCAGAGGCAGGAGGGUGGAAGUCAUUGAGAGCUGGGGUGUGAGGAUCAGACAGAAUUGGGAUCAGGACUACUGUGGCAAAUGAAAUGGGUGCACGGAAAAGGCUUGGUAUGGUGCCUGCUCAUGGUAACAGUAACUAGGAUGGAGGGUGAGGAAACUCUGAAACUACGCCAUAUGAGGAAUAAUUGGGAAGAGUAGUGAUACUUCAUUCCAAGAAGAGAAACUCUAAAGAAAGGAAAAACUUAUUGGAAUGUAGGAGAAUAAAAUCAUUCUGUUUUCUUGCAUCAUACUCCUACCAAAUGGCAUGAUUAUGACAAAAAAGCAUAGACUAUAAUGGGACAUUCUGACUCAGAAGAAGAUACAUUUCUAAAAAUGAGAAAUAUCCAACGAUGUAAUUGACUAAGCAUUUAUUUACUACAGCCUGGGCCUGGGGGGACAAAAUUAAGUAAGAUAGAAUUGGUAUUCUAGAGCUUCUCAUAAAGUGAAAGCCCGAUACUCAGUGAUUAAACGAGAACUAAAUGAUCAUCAAACAUACUGUAUUGGAUAGAAGCCUUGGGUAUAUGACAGCUAAGGUCUGUUCUGAAAUUAACAUUUUCAGGGUCUGAGAUACAGGGUGGAGUCCACUGGCAUCCCUACAGAACUGGCAGAUGAGUUUAGGGAAAGAUAAAAUAUUCAGUGUGAGUCUAGAGUCUCCAAGGAAUACCAUUAUUUGUGAACUCUGUCUCCCAAGGUCUCUUCAUGGUUAUCAAGUGAAGCUGGAGGCAAGUUAACUUUACCUUAGAGUUUUACUGACACCUGGUGGUAAGUGUGGAUAUCAAUAUAAUCUAAAAUGUCUGAAGACCAUACAUACAGUAGCACAAAUAAAAAUGCUUCAUACUUACAACAAUUAUAGAUGCAUAUGGUGAGAAAAAGUCAUUCAUGCUUUGGACUCUCUUCCUGAAAAGACUUAAAACUGUUUAAAUAUUAUCGUCAAGAUAUUUUUAUCCUAAAGUUUCAAACUCUAGUAUCUUCAUAGAUUUAUAGUGUCGUUACUGUUUCUUCUAAGUCACAUAUUUCAGUUAUUACUAUUUUUAUGGUUUAUAAAAAACACAAAAUAUCAUCUAAGCUAUCAAUGUACCAAAUUUUAAUUACAAAUCUAUUAAAGUUCAUAUCACUAAACUACAAAGGUAAAUGUCCUCCAGUUAAAAGGGAGAAUUACAGGUACCAUCCAAUAUUAUUAACAGUAUUUUUCACUAUAGUGGCACCUGAUUUGUAACAUUCUUGACAAGCCAGGAGCAGGUUGGUUCUGGUUAAAUCUGGGAAUUAUUGCUAAGACACAAUAGGUGCUAAAUGGUCUGUGGGGGAAUUAAACCCAUCGGUCCUCUCCAGAAUGCCUCUAUGCUAAAUAGAGAUAUGUGGCUACCUAAAAUCAAUAACCUAUUGACCUAUAGAAUAUAUAUAUAAAUUUUCUGUAAUUCACCUAUAAACAAACUAGAAAUGUGCCAAGUUUUUCAUAGUAAGUGAAGCAUUAGAAUAUUAAAAUUACAGAUUUUAAAAUGUAGCUGUUGUGGUUGAUACACUUUAACAACAUGAUAAGAAAAUGGAAGUCUUCUAGGAUAGAAGUGGGUGUUAUUAACAUUUUGAUGGUUAUGGUACCAUCGCAUUUUGAUAUGAUACAAAAAUGCCACUUGUCCCAUCCCCGUUAUAACUUUCAAAGGAAUAGUAGUUUCCAAGUAUGUUUUCCUUCUAAAGGUGUCCCACCCUCCUACAUUCAAAAAUAAAACACAACUGAUAAGCCGGUUCUGUUCCCUAAUUACAAAGGCAAACGACCUUAUGCGUGGAGAAAGCGAGCCCAGGCUUCGCUCCGGUGUCUGAGCUUCCAGUCACCACCCUGAGCUGCUCUGAGUGACUUUCCAGGCUGUGCCAACAUCCCUCAGCUCAGCGGAAGUCAGGGUGGCUUGUACGUGAUGAUGCGUACCUUGGAGAAAAUUACUUUGACCUCCCUGACCUAUUUUAGUGAUAUGGGAAUUUAUCACUAUCAGGGCUGACCAUCUCUAUAAAUUUAUUACAUAACAUGCAUUUUACUACUAUUUAGCUUCUGUAAGCUUAGUGUUAGUAGGAACAAUGGAAAGGAAUAGAACUCAUAAGAAUAGUAUUAGCAAGUGUAGGCAAAGCCAAUUUAAAGUUUCCAUUCAAUAUUGUUUCUGCAGGUAAUAUAUAACCUGUUUCUCUAAGUUUUCUCACAGGGAAGUGAUCUAACCACUAUUUCUUUUUUUUAAAGAUUUAUUAACUUACUUUUGAG